AAGAGCUCUUCCGGUCUCCCCACAGCUCGUGGGGUGCCCAGGAAUGCCAGCAGACAGUCCAGUGCAGGAAAAGAUGCAUUCUGAGAAAUAAUAUGACAACUGAACAAAUAAACCUCUAAGGAGGCUUCUAGCAACAGCCCCCCCCCAUGGAUUUCCAGAUACUGCGCUCUGUGAGGACAGCCACACCUUCUGACCUGUUUAACGACAUUCCCGACAUUCCCGAGGCCUGCGCAAGGCAGAGCAGAGCCUGAACAAUUACAUGCUGAGCGAAUUAGGUGUCAUCAUCCUCGCUCCCUUCCGCCUCACACCACCCCUCCGCUGUCAAGCCACAUCUCAUUCCCCAGCUGUCUCAUCUACCGCAUACCCCCCAGAGCCUCA